rnacentral:lncRNA from 1 species
CUCAGAUGUUUCUUUCUCUACAGUUGUUUUCUCUUUCGAGGUUACAGCAGUCAGAAUUAAAAGCUGUAGCCUUGACUCCAAGGCAGAGUUCUUCCUCCCGGGGUCUGCGGUCCAUUCCAUGCGUGCUGGAUGAUUGCAUUUAAGUUUUCUGAAAGAAAAUGCGCAAGUCCUCUGAGUGAUGUCUAUCACGGAAGUUGUAAAACUGUGCCGAGUGUGACCACAGCUUGUGCGUAGAAAUGGACUGAAGAAAACAUCCUAAAACGUUCACAGCGAGUUGUCCCACUGAGUGAUUCCUUUUUUCUACGUCUAUAUUUCUACUUUUCUUGAUUGGUGGAGUCACCUGAUCUUGUGUCUGUUCAAGCCUCGGUCAACAACCUGGGAGGCCUCUUCCGUCACCAAGUCACCGUGAACUCAUGCGGCCCUCCUGCCUCUUCCUCUAAGCUCCUUCACCAGGAGAACUGAUGGUCACAUCUACCUUGUUGGACUGUCAUGAAGUACAAAUGGGAUGGUGAUGAUAAACGUUCUUGAAGAACCACAGAGCAUCGUGAAAGAGAAGAAAACAACAUCACCAUCUACUCAGGAGCUCAAGCUCAAAGCCAGGUAGUUCUGCUGGCCCCACCCCUUUUGUGGUCGACCCUGCCGGUUGGUCUUUCCUCUUCAUUCUUGCCGGGGUCUAGUCAACAGGUACCGCCUCAGAGGAGCUCCCUGACCCCUCCGUCUGGAUCAGCCUCCAAACCUACCCCUGCCUUUCUCUAGCACACGUUGCCCUCCUUUGUAUUUUUUAGUAACAGUUCCAACUGAAAUUAUCUUAUUUGUUCUGGCAAAUGUAUCUGGUAUCGCUCUCCCCACCAGCGUGGCAGGGACCUGGUCUUUCUCUGUCCUGUCUCCAUGCUGACAUCAGUUCAGGGCUUCCGGUAGAAGAGUCACCAAUAACUAUUGACCCAGUGAAAACGUUCCUGAACUAAACUCGUGCUUCCUGAAAUAUUCUCUUCUACCUUUUUGUCAUGGUGCCUGCUGUUUCCUCUGCCCAAAGGGCACCAUAUCCACUUGUUCCCUUGGCAGGCUCCUAUUCAUCCUUUAAGAUUGCACCUGCUCUAUAAAAAACUUCCCGAUGCCCCUGGACUGAGCUCAUCCUUGUUCUCUUGAAGCUACAGCCCCUUUCGCUCACCAAAUGCCGUUGUUUUCAUACUGGAUUUCCCUGCUGGGCUGUGAGCUUCCCCAGGGCAAGGCUGUGGGCGCUCAUGCUUUCUGUCUCCUCAACUCCUCACAUGUAAUUCAUCCAUACAGUUAUUCAGUAAAUGUUUGUUGAUUGAGUAAACAAAUGUAAGAAAGCAGAUGAUCAAGAAAGAUGAUUAUUUGUGAUGAUGUUCUCUGAUUUCAACUAUAAGCAAACAAAAUUCUAGAUUUAAGGAAAGGGAAAGAUAAGUCUGUGUGGAUGCCAUAUAG